AUUGAACGCUGGCGGCAUGCCUUACACAUGCAAGUCGAACGGCAGCACGGGAGCAAUCCUGGUUGCGAGUGGCGAACGGGUGAGUAAUACAUCGGAACGUGCCCAAUCGUGGGGGAUAACGCAGCGAAAGCUGUGCUAAUACCGCAUACGAUCUACGGAUGAAAGCAGGGGACCGCAAGGCCUUGCGCGAAUGGAGCGGCCGAUGGCAGAUUAGGUAGUUGGUGGGGUAAAGGCUCACCAAGCCAACGAUCUGUAGCUGGUCUGAGAGGACGACCAGCCACACUGGGACUGAGACACGGCCCAGACUCCUACGGGAGGCAGCAGUGGGGAAUGUUGGACAAUGGGGGCAAGCCUGAUCCAGCGAUGCCGCGUGCAGGAUGAAGGCCUUCGGGUUGUAAACUGGUUUUGUACGGAACGAAACGGCUUUUUCUAAUAAAGAGGGCUAAUGACGGUACCGGAAGAAGAAGCACCGGCUAACUACGUG
rnacentral:rRNA from 1 species